rnacentral:rRNA from 1 species
CCUACGGGCGGCUUCAGUGGGGAAUAUUGGACAAUGGGGGCAACCCUGAUCCAGCCAUGCCGCGUGUGUGAAGAAGGCCCUCGGGUUGUAAAGCACUUUCAGUGAGGAAGAACGCCUGGUGGUUAAUACCCAUCAGGAAAGACAUCACUCACAGAAGAAGCACCGGCUAACUCCGUGCCAGCAGCCGCGGUAAUACGGAGGGUGCGAGCGUUAAUCGGAAUUACUGGGCGUAAAGCGCGCGUAGGUGGCUUGAUAAGCCGGUUGUGAAAGCCCCGGGCUCAACCUGGGAACGGCAUCCGGAACUGUCAAGCUAGAGUGCAGGAGAGGAAGGUAGAAUUCCCGGUGUAGCGGUGAAAUGCGUAGAGAUCGGGAGGAAUACCAGUGGCGAAGGCGGCCUUCUGGACUGACACUGACACUGAGGUGCGAAAGCGUGGGUAGCAAACAGGAUUAGAUACCCGAGUAGUC